AUUGAACGCUGGCGGAAUGCUUUACACAUGCAAGUCGAACGGCAGCAUAGGUGCUUGCACCUGAUGGCGAGUGGCGAACGGGUGAGUAAUACAUCGGAACGUGCCCAGUCGUGGGGGAUAACGUAGCGAAAGUUACGCUAAUACCGCAUACGAUCUAAGGAUGAAAGCGGGGGACCGUAAGGCCUCGCGCGAUGUGAGCGGCCGAUGUCAGAUUAGGUAGUUGGUGAGGUAAAGGCUCACCAAGCCGACGAUCUGUAGCUGGUCUGAGAGGACGACCAGCCACACUGGGACUGAAACACGGCCCAGACUCCUACGGGAGGCAGCAGUGGGGAAUUUUGGACAAUGGACGCAAGUCUGAUCCAGCCAUUCCGCGCGCAGGACGAAGGCCUUCGGGUUGUAAACUGCUUUUGUACGGAACGAAAAAGCUCUUACUAAUACUAGGAGUCCAUGACGGUACCGUAAGAAUAAGCACCGGCUAACUACGUGCCAGCAGCCGCCGUAA
rnacentral:rRNA from 1 species